AUUGAACGCUGGCGGCAGGCCUAACACAUGCAAGUCGAACGAGUGGCGGACGGGUGAGUAAUGUCUGGGAAACUGCCCGAUGGAUGGGGAUAACUACUGGAAACGGUAGCUAAUACCGCAUACCAUCGGAUGUUCCCAGAUGGGAUUAGCUAGUAGGUGGGGUAACGGCUCACCUAGGCGACGAUCCCUAGCUGGUCUGAGAGGAUGACCAGCAACACUGGACCGGAGACACGGUCCAGACGCCUACGGGAGGCAGCAGUGGGGAAUAUUGCACAAUGGGCGAAAGCCUGACGCAGCAAUGCCGCGUGUAUGAAGAAGGCCUUCGGGUUGUAAAGUACUGUCAGCGGGGAGGCGUUACUCGAAGAAGAAGCACCGGCUAACUCCGUGCCAGCAGCCGCGGUAAUAC
rnacentral:rRNA from 1 species